rnacentral:tRNA from 1 species
CAUUUGAUAUCUUAAAUUAAAGAAUUGGUUUUUUAAGCCAAAUUAUAGUAAUUUAUUCUUACUUCAAAUGA